AUUGAACGCUGGCGGCAUGCCUUACACAUGCAAGUCGAACGGCAGCGCGGGAGCAAUCCUGGCGGCGAGUGGCGAACGGGUGAGUAAUAUAUCGGAACGUGCCCAGUAGUGGGGGAUAGCCCGGCGAAAGCCGGAUUAAUACCGCAUACGACCUGAGGGUGAAAGCGGGGGAUCGCAAGACCUCGCGCUAUUGGAGCGGCCGAUAUCAGAUUAGCUAGUUGGUGGGGUAAAGGCCUACCAAGGCAACGAUCUGUAGUUGGUCUGAGAGGACGACCAGCCACACUGGGACUGAGACACGGCCCAGACUCCUACGGGAGGCAGCAGUGGGGAAUUUUGGACAAUGGGCGCAAGCCUGAUCCAGCAAUGCCGCGUGCAGGAAGAAGG
rnacentral:rRNA from 1 species